rnacentral:rRNA from 1 species
GUAGGUGGCAAGCGUUGUCCGGAAUUAUUGGGCGUAAAGCGCGCGCAGGCGGUCCUUUAAGUCUGAUGUGAAAGCCCACGGGCUCAACCGUGAGGGUCAUUGGAAACUGGGGGACUUGAGUACAGAAGAGGAAAGCGGAAUUCCAAGUGUAGCGGUGAAAUGCGUAGAGAUUUGGAGGAACACCAGUGGCGAAGGCGGCUUUCUGGUCUGUAACUGACGCUGAGGCGCGAAAGCGUGGGGAGCAAACAGGAUUAGAUACCCUGGUAGUCCACGCCGUAAACGAUGAGUGCUAGGUGUUAGGGGGUUUCCGCCCCUUAGUGCUGCAGCUAACGCAUUAAGCACUCCGCCUGGGGAGUACGGCCGCAAAGGCUGA